GUCCAUCUAUCGACAAAAUCCGCAAUCACUUAGUUGGCAACCCAAUACUACGCAUUAUAUCUACUACGCAUUAUUAUAAAAUUGUAAAUUUGUUUAGACUUGACGAAUAUAAAAACAUUGACGAAUCUUACGUCAAAUGUGAUGCAGCAAUGAUAAUGGACAAAAAAUCGGAUCGAUUAAUUUUUGCGAUACUGUGCUCACAUGUAUUACGAGCAAGAGAUGAUAGAGCAAAAAAAUUCUUAACUCUCCUCAGCACAUUUGGGGUUCAUUGUCGAUCACAAAUUUUUUUCUAAAGAGCUCGUCUUGACCGCUGUGGAAGAUACACGUUUUUAAAAAUUCCCCAAAUUGUUCAACGACGCCAAAAAAUCGCCAAAAAGUUACAUCUUUCAUAACAUGUGCGGAAUACCAUUCGUGGAUUAUGGAUGAGAGGAAUACGAAGAAAGAGGAAUUAAAGAGAUGGUGGUUCUCGGAUUCUUAAGAAACUAUGCUCGUCGCGUACAAGAGAAGCGAAGUAAAAAGAGACUUCUUGAGAGCAAUCAUUAUCGAAGCAUCAGUUUAGAAUACCCCAAUUAUCGAACGAAGUUCGAGGAUCUUGUAUCAUGGUGAGGGAAGGGAUAUGAAAGAUGCCCAAAAUAAUUGUGUCCUGAAAGAAAUAACAUACAGUAACCAAAAGAAGAAAAGACUGCAUUGCCUGUUCUGUGAAAGUUGUCAUAUUCAGGCAAUGGUGCUGCGAAUGAAAAUAUAAAAA